GACGAACGCUGGCGGCGUGCUUAACACAUGCAAGUCGAACGGAAAGGCCCUGCUUUUGUGGUGUGCUCGAGUGGCAAACGGGUGAGUAACACGUGAGUAAUCUGCCCUUGACUUUGGGAUAACUUCAGGAAACUGGGGAUAAUAGCGGAUGGGCACUCCUGCUGCAGGGUGGGGGUUGGAUAGUUUCGGCGGUGGGGGAUGGACUCGCGGCUUAGCAGCUUGUUGGUGGGGUAGUGUUACACCAAGGCUUUGACGGGUAGCCGGGCUGAGAGGGGGAGCGGCAUCAUUGGGACUGAACGACGGCCCAGACUACGACGGGAGGCAGCAGGGAGGAAUAUUGAAUGAUGGGCGGACUGCUGAUGCAGCACCGCCGCGUGCGGGAUGACGGCCUUCGGGUUGUAACCCGCUUGCGCCGGUGACGAAGCGGGAGUGACGGUAGUGGGUAAAGAAGCACCGGCUAACUACGUG
rnacentral:rRNA from 1 species